UUUCCCUCUCCUCUGACAGCGCGCGCCACGCUGCUCUGGUCCACCUGCUGCGCCAGCCGCACUCCAUUCCACAACUGACAAGCGUCAAGUUGCACUUUGGGAGUGUUUCCAUCUUGCAAGCUAAAAAGUUUGCAGAAGCUAGCGUUAGCAGUUAGCGUCUUCAACGACCACCAAAAGGCAUUUCUUUGGCGUGCAUUUUGGUGCAACGAUAUAUCUAAAGCUUUUAACGGUGGGUAAGUACAUGUACAUUUAGAAAACUCAAGCACGCACCGUGUGGAAAGAUGACUAACACAAUUUUUGCACAAACAUUUAGCAACGUCUGGACGACAGCGUCGUUUGGCCGAAGGUAAGUAGACGUAGCAGCGUUUGCAUGAAUCCACCAGAGAAUUACUGAAACAGGGAUUUCGAUGCAUUCGUGUUAAUUUUCUACUUUGUCUGCAGGGUCCAAAAUGGCCACCUUGCAGUCCUCACAUAGCUUCAUGAGACACUUGCAGGUCUACUCUUGCUCAAUUUGCUUGUUAGGCUG